AAAGGGCAGCAAAAACAACAGAAACUGUUAAGACUGCUGUUGUUUGUUGCCUUCAUUCAUAAUUGAAGGAAGUCUGA